rnacentral:lncRNA from 1 species
UGUUUGAGCCUUAAUAUCACGGAACCUUUGUAGUUUAAUUUCCAUUUCUGUUUUUGGGUUAAGUGACUUGGGAAAAUGCUCUAGAAGCAAUUCCAAGAUCACAUUUGAACAUUGUAGUAGUGUAAUUUCGUUUUCUUAGUGUGGAAGUGUGUUAAGGGGCUCCAAGUGUCACUUGUACUUUCACUUAGGGCCGUUUAGCAUUUACAUUUUGCA